rnacentral:rRNA from 1 species
UACGGGAGGCGGCAGUGGGGAAUAUUGGACAAUGGGCGAAAGCCUGAUCCAGCGACGCCGCGUGGGUGAAGAAGGCCUGCGGGUUGUAAAGCCCUUUCGGUUGGGAAGAAAUGCGUUGACCUAACACGUCAGCGUCUUGACGUAACCAACAAAAGAAGCACCGGCUAACUCUGUGCCAGCAGCCGCGGUAAUACAGAGGGUGCAAGCGUUAAUCGGAAUUACUGGGCGUAAAGCGCACGUAGGCGGCUUGACCAGUCGAGUGUGAAAUCCCCGGGCUUAACCUGGGAGCUGCAUUCGAAACUGUCUUGCUAGAGUAUGGGAGAGGGAAGUGGAAUUUCAGGUGUAGCGGUGAAAUGCGUAGAUAUCUGAAGGAACAUCAGUGGCGAAAGCGACUUCCUGGACCAAUACUGACGCUCAGGUGCGAAAGCGUGGGGAGCAAACAGGAUUAGAUACCCUGGUAGUCCACGCCAUAAACGAUGAGAACUGGAUGUUGGGAGGGUUAGCCUCUCGGUGUCGUAGCUAACGCGUUAAGUUCUCCGC